GAAUCUGAUGACCUCAGCUCUUCUCUGAGGUGCCUUUGGCUGUGUUCAGAGAGGACAAACAGCACCCGGUGACCCCUGUGAAAGGACCGUUAGACUAGGAUCUCGACCUGCAGGUGGAGAGACACUGCAUAGGGAGAUCAGUAUUUGGAGAGACUCCUGAUUCAGAAGUUGAAGUGGCUGAGGUCAGAGAGCCAUCGGUGACCUGGUGCGUGUUCUCCAAGGCCAACAUUAUGACCACCAUGAAGAGCUCGAACUGCAGGUUCUCUUUGUGCCGCUCUUGAGAAGAACUUCAAGUUGGGGUUGGAGUUGACCCAGGCCCCUCUGCACCCAGGGGGAUAGAACUUGAAGCUG
rnacentral:lncRNA from 1 species